rnacentral:rRNA from 1 species
CGAACGCUGGCGGCGUGCUUAACACAUGCACGUCGAACGGAAAGGCCCUGCUUGCAGGGUACUCGAGUGGCGAACGGGUGAGUAACACGUGGGUGAUCUGCCCUGCACUUCGGGAUAAGCUUGGGAAACUGGGUCUAAUACCGGAUAGGAACCAUCUUUAGUGUGGUGGUUGGAAAGUUUUUUCGGUGUAGGAUGAGCUCGCGGCCUAUCAGCUUGUUGGUGGGGUAAUGGCCUACCAAGGCGGCGACGGGUAGCCGGCCUGAGAGGGUGUACGGCCACAUUGGGACUGAGAUACGGCCCAGACUCCUACGGGAGGCAGCAGUGGGGAAUAUUGCACAAUGGGCGCAAGCCUGAUGCAGCGACGCCGCGUGGGGGAUGAAGGCCUUCGGGUUGUAAACUCCUUUCGCUAGGGACGAAGCUUUGUUGUGACGGUACCUAGAUAAGAAGCACCGGCUAACUACGUG